rnacentral:rRNA from 1 species
UACGUAGGGUGCAAGCGUUGUCCGGAAUUAUUGGGCGUAAAGAGCUCGUAGGCGGUCUGUCGCGUCUGCUGUGAAAAUCCAGGGCUUAACCCUGGACCUGCAGUGGGUACGGGCAGACUGGAGUGCGGUAGGGGAGAUCGGAAUUCCUGGUGUAGCGGUGAAAUGCGCAGAUAUCAGGAGGAACACCGGUGGCGAAGGCGGCUUACUGGUCCAUAACUGACGCUGAGGUGCGAAAGCGUGGGGAGCAAACAGG